GAAAAUUCAUUUUUGGAUCAGGAGUUGCCAAGAACUGAAAGAUGGAUCAUGGAGGUCUGGAUCUGUGGGAAGAAGUUGGCGUCCUGGUCCAUGAGCUGGAGGAGGGGUCCCCAGCUGUGCUCAGCGCCUCUCUCUCCACACAGCGGUCAUAGUGCGCCGCCUGCUGGAAUGUGGGCGGAGCUGUGAAAGAUCCUUCUGUCCUCUCGUCGGCCGCUCACCAAUCCUGACCCAGUGACGUAGACGGCCUCUCCGCCUAGAUUCCCCAGCAGCCUCUUGGGUUCCUCAGCAGGGCGGGCAGAACCUGAAGUGGGUCAGACCGCGUAAGACCAGGUUCUGGACCCGAGUGCAGUUCAGGGCAGCUCCCAGACCUGUGUUUCUGUGUUUCCUGCCCAGAGAGAGAGGCGUUUAAACCCGGUUGUCGGUUCCCUCACGUGGUCCCGGCUCCAGCACCCUGAUAGAGGCCCUCUGCGGGUAGAAGGCCUCAUAUACCCCUCAGGAACAUAGUAUAGUUGUGUUAUUUCGAUAGCACAUAUACUAAAAUUGGAACGAUACAGAGAAGAUUAGCAUGGCCCCUGCGCAA